rnacentral:lncRNA from 1 species
GUCAUCAUCAGAGAAGCUUCCUUUUGCAGUAGAUGGGAACAGAUGCAGAAAUCUACAUCAAGACAUUAUGCAGCGAGAGAAGAGAUGACUCCAUCAUAACUUUUAUCUCAGAACUCAGGAAACACAGCAGAAGAAGAGGUGGAAAGAGUGUAAGAACCAGAGGUGAGGAAGGAUACCAGAAAUACAAAGUCCUCUGAAUCAACUGAGCAAAGCUCCUAUGAACUCAUGGAGACUAAAGCAGCAUGCACUGGGACUACACAGUUCUUAUAGGUGUUCUGACCAGCUGCUUCUUUAAGAUGAUACAAGGGAAAAUGGCAGACUUUUGAAUUAUGUUGAUUAUUAUACGUUUGAGGAUGCAGCAACAUCUGACCGAAGAAUUAACAAGCUCAUGGAAAAGUCAAAUACAAGUUAGCAGGCCCAACAGUCAACCCGAAACUCAAGAGCCAAAGGUUUUGGCUUCCUCACACAUUAAUCAGUCUAUCCUUGUCUCAGAGCUGCCUCAAACUCAAUCAAAAAUUUUGCCGGUAUCUCCGCACAUUUUUCAGUUACCUCGUAUAUUGUUAUAUCCUGAUUUAAGAAGUAUUGAUGAGUCAUUGAGGACCAAAAGUUAUUAUAAAUAUAGGAUGCAUAUUCUAGCCAGCUUGGCGUGCUUCUCCAAAACAAACCAAACAACAACAACAACAAAAUAACAAAGGA